rnacentral:rRNA from 1 species
GAACUGCUUUGAAAACUGUUAAUCUAGAAUGUGGGAGAGGUAGAUGGAAUUUCUGGUGUAGGGGUAAAAUCCGUAGAGAUCAGAAGGAAUACCGAUUGCGAAGGCGAUCUACUGGAACAUUAUUGACGCUGAGAUGCGAAAGCGUGGGGAGCAAACAGGAUUAGAUACCCUGGUAGUCCACGCCCUAAACGAUGUACACUAGUUGUUGUGAGACUAGAUCUUGCAGUAAUGCAGUUAACACAUUAAGUGUACCGCCUGGGGAGUACGGUCGCAAGAUUAAAACUCAAAGGAAUAGACGGGGACCCGCACAAGCGGUGGAGCAUGUGGUUUAAUUCGACGAUACACGAAGAACCUUACCUGGACUUGACAUAGUAAGAAUGAUUUAGAGAUAGAUUAGUGUCUGCUUGCAGAAACUUGCAUACAGGUGCUGCACGGCUGUCGUCAGCUCGUGUCGUGAGAUGUUGGGUUAAGUCCCGCAACGAGCGCAACCCUCGUCGUUAGUUGCUAACAGUUCGGCUGAGAACUCUAACGAGACUGCCUACGCAAGUAGGAGGAAGGUGAGGAUGACGUCAAGUCAUCAUGGCCCUUACGUCCAGGGCUACACACGUGCUACAAUGGGAUAUACAAAGAGCCGCAAUACAGUGAUGUGGAGCAAAUCUUAUAAAAUAUCUCCCAGUUCGGAUUGUAGUCUGCAACUCGACUACAUGAAGUUGGAAUCGCUAGUAAUCGUAGAUCAGCUAUGCUACGGUGAAUACGUUCCCGGGUCUUGUACUCACCGCCCGUCACACCAUGGGAGUUGAACUCAUUCGAAGCGGGGAUGCUAAAGUAGCUACCUUCCACAGUGGAUUCAGCGACUGGGGUGAAGUCGUAACAAGGUAACCGUAGGAGAACCUGCGGC